AUUUUAUACAGGCAACUCUCAUCUGUUGUACAAGUACUUAAAGAGAGCUUGUGAAGAAGGUGAAUUUAGGAGCAAUGAGUCUGAAAUGAUCUCCAUAAAGAUCCAGAUCCCUGUGAGAGAGACGGAGAAACUGCAGCAUGCUUUUCUUGAUUCUCUUCACAUCUUCUGCUUCCCAAUGUGUGUGUGUGCAAGCUCUGUAGGCAAAUGAAGAAUAGUCAUCUGGCAGAAUCAGCAAGUCAUUGGGCCCACCUGUGCAUCUCCUGAAGGCAAAAUGCUGAUCUGGUGUAAGUCUUGUCUGACUGUCUUUGAAGGAUGGCUACUAUAUUACAUUGAAAUAAAAGCAGUCUAGAUGAUCCUUUGCUGGAGCUGGCUGGACACAGCAGAAGAACUGUUAGAAAAAUUGCUUUUCUGAAUCCUUCUAGAGGAAUCUAGAAGUGAUGGAGACACCAACGUGGUCAAAGCAUGUGCUGCAUUUUCACCAGUGUAAAUCAGAAAAACACCACCCAUGGUUUGAGCUGCAUAGAUUUACACCAGGUGAAGCACUGGGACCUGGAGGUAUUGAGUUGCCCAGGGUCACGUGGGUUGUGGCAAAGAGCACCUGAGAAGAGAGGAUUACAGAUCCUGGGGCCCAGAUUUACUCCUGACAGAGACCAGCUGAAGAAAACAUUGUCAAAUGCAAGCAGGGAUGAACUCGCACUGUCUCUGAUACAAAUGUUCACAGGAGGAUGUUGCAAGGAUGGUCUUAGCUCAGCACUCAACCUGGGAGUGACAAGGGAAAAUGUGGGGGGUUACAGGAGCAAUUGGGUGGCGAUGUUGAUAGGGACAUGGCAAGUUACCUUUUGCUCAAAUUCUUGUUGAUCCAGUUCCAGAGACAAUUCUUACUCAAUUUCUAUUUCAGAAAAGCUCAUCCGUGAACUAAGGAGCUUGUAUACACGUGUUUAUCUCGUUAUUGCCUUGCCAGUGGAAUAGACUCUUUCUGUCAUUGACCCCAUUGGAAGACAUUCCUUGGUGUGGUUGGUGGGAUGAACUUCCAUAAGCAUUCUCUUGCUUGCAGCUCUCAAUUCAAACCAAAAAGCCUCUAGUGGAAAAAGUUGAACGUGACUGGGUGUGCUCCAGCUGACGUGGGCUGGGGGCUGUUCACACUGGCAACAGAGUUGGCAAACUGAUGAGAGAUGAGCGAAUAACAUCCAAUCCCAGAGCUGUGUGAAGCUGCUUGGGGCGAGGGGUUGGCUGGAGGAAGGCAUAUGAUUAAGUGUGAUAUUAAAGCUGAAUGGAAGUGAAGGGUCUGACUGCUGAUUCCACAGAAGCACUGAAGAAAGAGUGAAUUCUCUAUAAGAUUUCCUGAGAGGUUUUUUGUUCCCCAGCAGGAAGGCUGCAGGACAUCUCAGUUAAAGGCUGGCCUAUCUGCAGAGACCAUGUGUGAUGGCUUUCCCAGAGCCAACGUCUGUUUCCCCCCCCAACUCCCCAGUAGCUUCCUGCCAGAGCUCCUUGCCUCCAAGGAUGUUGGCUUGGCAGGUUGCCUUGGUUCUCCCUGGAUCAUGGGAUCACUGGGUGAGUCAAUUUGGAAAGGUCUUCAGGAGGUCUCUGUCCAGCCUCCUGCUUCACACAUGAGCUCAUGCAGGGUUUCUCAGGGCUGUACUUGGGUUGUUGGAUAUUUACAUGUAUUAUAGCAGUAGAGACUGCUGCUCCUGUGGUCUGUUGUUUGAUUUGUGCUCUCUGGUUCCUUGGUUGGCCAAAGCCAAAGAUGGCUGACUGUCAAAUGCAGCAUCUUCUAGAUUGCUCAGGUAGGAGAAGCUGUGUUACCAAACUAAGCUGCCCCCAAGUUUCACGUUCAUUCUCCCCAGCAUGAGCUGUUUUGCAUCUUUCUCCCUCCUCCUUUCCCCUCUAACAAAGCUUUCUGUUUCUGUCUUACUGUCUUUGUG
ensembl:lncRNA